CGCCAGACUCCUACGGGAGGCAGCAGUGGGGAAUAUUGCACAAUGGGCGAAAGCCUGAUGCAGCAACGCCGCGUGAAGGAAGACGGUUUUCGGAUUGUAAACUUCUGUUCUUAGUGAAGAAUAAUGACGGUAACUAAGGAGCAAGCCACGGCUAACUACGUGCCAGCAGCCGCGGUAAUACGUAGGGGGCAAGCGUUAUCCGGAUUUACUGGGUGUAAAGGGAGCGUAGACGGCAAGACAAGCCUGGAGUGAAAGGCGGGGGCCAAACCCCCGGACUGCUCUGGGAACUGUCUGGCUGGAGUGCAGGAGGGGUAAGUGGAAUUCCUAGUGUAGCGGUGAAAUGCGUAGAUAUUAGGAGGAACACCAGUGGCGAAGGCGGCUUACUGGACUGUAACUGACGUUGAGGCUCGAAAGCGUGGGGAGCAAACAGGAUUAGAUACCCCCGUA
rnacentral:rRNA from 1 species